rnacentral:rRNA from 1 species
UACGUAGGGUGCAAGCGUUGUCCGGAAUUAUUGGGCGUAAAGAGCUCGUAGGCGGUCUGUUGCGUCGGCUGUGAAAACCCGGGGCUCAACUCCGGGCCUGCAGCCGAUACGGGCAGACUAGAGUUCGGCAGGGGAGACUGGAAUUCCUGGUGUAGCGGUGGAAUGCGCAGAUAUCAGGAGGAACACCUAUUGCGAAGGCAGCUCGCUGGGACGUAACUGACGCUGAGACGCGAAAGCGUGGGGAGCAAACAGG